rnacentral:lncRNA from 12 species
CAGCUAUUGAUGACAAGUCAUUAAGGCAAUGAUGAGAACCAUUGCCUUCAUAUUGACCAGGAAGCAUUAGAAGCCUGUUGGAAGCAAUGCUGAUCUUACUCUGUUCUGGCUACAACCCAUGAAAAGGUUACGCUCUAAAUCCUUGCCAGUGUGCCAAUGGAGCUACAGACUGAGCUGGACUCACCUCAG